rnacentral:rRNA from 1 species
GCGCGAAAACUUUACAAUGCUGGCAACAGCGAUAAGGGAACCUCGAGUGCCAGGCUACAAAUCUGGCUGUCGAGAUGCCUAAAAAGCAUUUCAUAGCAAGGGCCGGGCAAGACCGGUGCCAGCCGCCGCGGUAACACUGGCGGCUCGAGUGGUAACCGUUAUUAUUGGGUCUAAAGAGUCUGUAGCCGGCCGGAUAAGUCUCUUGAGAAAUCUGGCAGCUUAACUGUCAGGCUUUCAGGAGAUACUGUCUGGCUCGAGGCCGGGAGAGGUGAGAGGUACUUCAGGGGUAGGGGUGAAAUCUCGUAAUCCUUGAAGGACCACCAGUGGCGAAGGCGUCUCACCAGAACGGACCUGACGGCAAGGGACGAAAGCUAGGGGCACGAACCG